rnacentral:piRNA from 1 species
UGGCAUAGUUUUGUUUCUUAGAGAAAUGA